AUCGAACGCUGGCGGCAGGCCUAACACAUGCAAGUCGAACGAGUGGCGGACGGGUGUGUAAUGUCUAGGAAUCUGCCUGUUGGAGGGGGAUAACUACUGGAAACGGUAGCUAAUACCGCAUACCAUCAGAUGUGCCCAGAUGGGUUUAGCUAGUUGGUCGGGUAACGGCUCACCAAGGCGACGAUCCCUAGCUGGUCUGAGAGGAUGACCAGCCACACUGGGACUGAGACACGGGCCAGACUCCUACGGGAGGCAAGAGUGGGGAAUAAUGCACAAUGGGCGCAAGCCUGAUGCAGCCAUGCCGCGUGUAUGAAGAAGGCUUUCGGGUUGUAAAGUACUUUCAGCGGAGAGGCGUUACCCGCAGAAGAAGCACCGGCUAACUCCGUGCCAGCAGCCGCGGUAAUAC
rnacentral:rRNA from 1 species